AGGCGCCGUCGCUGGGGGCGGGGCUGACCUGGCUGGGGGUGGGGCCUGGAACCGGGAGCGCUGGCCAGCCGAGCCGGAGCGCCCGCGGGGGAAGAGCGUCGCGGGCGGCCUAGAGAAGGUGAACGUGAGGGUGUGCGGGGCCCCGCCGGAGGAUGUGCGGCCGAACCUCCUGUCACCUGCCCAUAGAUGUGCUCGCGAGAGCGUGUGCCUAUCGGGACCGGCAGGGCCGGGAGCGGCUCCCCGAGUGGAAGGACCCCGACAAGUACUGCCCCUCUUACAACACGAGCCCUCAGUCGAACAGCCCCGUGCUCUUGUCACGUCUGCACUUUGAGAAGGGUGCAGACCCAUCUGAGCGUAUCAUUGCUCCCAUGCGAUGGGGCUUGGUCCCAUCUUGGUUCAAAGAGGAUGAUCCUUCCAAACUUCAGUUCAACACUACCAACUGUCGUAGUGAUACCAUAAUGGAGAAACGGUCCUUCAAGGUCCCUCUUGGAAAGGGAAGACGCUGUGUCGUCUUAGCAGAUGGAUUCUACGAGUGGCAGAGACGUCAGGGAACAAGCCACAAGCAGCCGUACUUCAUCUAUUUUCCCCAAGCCAAAACAGAAGAGUCAGGUAGCACUGAUGUUGUAGAGAGUCCUGAGCACUGGAAGAAAGUCUGGGACAACUGGAGGCUGCUGACAAUGGCGGGGAUCUUUGACUGCUGGGAGCCCCCAGAAGGAGGAGACCUCCUGUAUUCCUACACCAUCAUCACAGUAGAUUCCUGCAAAAGCUUGAAUGACAUUCACCCUAGGAUGCCUGCCAUAUUAGAUGGAGAGGAGGAAGUCUCUAAAUGGCUUGACUUUGGUGAGGUCUCAACUCAGGAAGCUCUGAAGUUAAUCCACCCCACAGAGAAUAUCACCUUCCAUGCAGUCUCUUCCGUGGUGAACGACUCCGGGAACAACACUCCUGAAUGUGUGACUCCUAUCAGCCUACUGGUCAAAAAGGGUGGGCCGCAAGGUGGAUUCUGGCCAGAUUUGGAAGGAAGCCAUCGUUGUGGUUGCCGAUCUGCUGAUUUACCUCCUUGGUGUGAGGCAGCACCAAUGACGACUUUCCCUGGAUUCUCCUUCGGUCUUGCUGACUCAGGGGUGUGCAUGGUUAACUCUGACAAAGGGUCUCAGCUUCCACAGGGUACCGUCAUCGCCAAGGUCAGAGGCACCAGGAACCAACACAAGUUGGUCUGUCCUGGCGUUCCAGCUUGUGCGGAUUCAGCCUGCUCACGAGCUUCCCCUCCUGCCUGGGCACCUCCGGCUCCAGCCUCUGUCACGGUGAUCCAGCCUCCUGGAAACUGUUUCAUCGGCCCCGCAAGUGUGCAAGCCAGUUCCCUGUAACUGAUCCGGUGUAUGGGUGUGUCAGUGCCACUAGCCCUCCGGUUCUGCUUCCCCACCGAACUCUGACUGAGCGGGGACCCUGAAGCCCUGCUAACUCCUGCCUCGUGCCUGUCAGUGUACCUGCUGCUUUCACCGUUCCCCAGACUCAGGAGCUUUUGUCACACUGGGGGCCUGUGUCAUUGCUGCUCCCGCCUGGACUGUCGAUCCCCCAGAGCUGCCGGUUUGUGUGUCCUGUGCAUCCUCCUCAAGAACAGGAAGCAGAUCCCUGCCUCCUCAGCCAGUGUGUGCUCAAUGAGUGACCAUAGACUAGGCCAUACGAAAGACCCCAGGGCCUCUUUGUUGCCUCAGGACUAAUGGAGCUGCUAGUACAGCUAAUGGGCCCUCUGGCUGUAUCACCCAAAGUGUGAUGCCUGGGACAGAGGGAUGGCAGCACCCCUCCACCCCCGACCUUGUGCUGAGUGCUCAAGUCCCUCACCCCCAUCAGGUUCUGUGCUCAGUACUAAGCCUUGCCCUGGCAGAGGGACGGAUUCAGCUAGGUUGUUCAGUCAGUGGAGACCCCAUCCUGUGGUCACUAAGGCCUGCACUGCCUGCAAAGGGGCCUUUCCAGUGUCUUCAAGGCUGUCCUGGGCCCAGAGAGAAGCUGCAUCUAGGGACCCAGAAGGCAGACCUGAGUACCACCCCCUCCGCCUGAGGAGAUCAAAGGGAGGCAGGUCCCAGCCCCACGAGAGGAAGAAGGGAGGGAAAUCCUGGAGACCCCGGCCAUAGGCAGUGUGUUUGGACCCCCUGGUUAACAGAUGGGUGAGUAAAAGAAAUCUUUCUUGGUUCCAUUUAGAGACAAGGAAACUGAGAAAUGGGGAGAACAGUCUUGCCCAGAACAAAAGACAUGGUGGACAAGAUCCAGAAAGCUGGCCUCAGCCUCCAGGGACCUGGUCCCACCCAACCCCCAUCCCUAUCAAAGGGUGCAGAGAGGAGACCAGGCUGGGGCCAUUGCUAAGCCUGUAUUUUGCAGAUAAGCAAAUACACCUGGUCCCUUGCUUCCUCACUGCACCAGGGUCACUUGCCCCAGGAAGCCCUCCUCCAGAGCCUCCCAGUGUCAUGAGCCUCCAAGGUUCACCUGGAAUUGAGAGUCUUUGAAGUGAGGUCUAAAAGACACAGUAGGUAAAUGCUGGGUCCCGGGCUCCUCAGUCCCAUGCAGGAGCUGAGUGUGGUGUCAGGGCAGGAAAUACAGCCUUCCCAGUCUCAGCUCCAAACCCACAUGACAAGCUUUUAAACACUCCCCUCACUGGGACUGUCACAAGGCUGAGAGGAGACCUGUGCAGCUUGCCUUAGUGCUGGCCACAUACAGAGUGUUCACAUGGGGCUGCUUACGGCCAUCCAUUCUUUGGGGUGCAGGUCAGAGAUGUGGGCCCCACCCCAAGGUGCAGCUCAGCUUGAAGGGUCUGAGUGAGCACCCCGAGAAGAGAGGAGGGGAAGGGCCUGUGGGUAGACGGUGGGACACUGGGAAAGUCCUUUCAGAAGAACAAUUUAAAGGGAUGACAAGGUGUCCAGGAUGUGAGCAUGGGAGGGUAAAGUGGGUCAAAGGUGUGAGAGACCAGAUUGCAAGCGACAAAAAAACAAUUCAAAUGAGCUUACGUAGAAAGCAAUGUAUCAGUUCACGUGGCAGUCAGAUCUAACUAGCUUCAGGCAUGGCUGGAUCCAGAGGCUCCGUUAAUGUCCUCAGAUUAUCUGUCUCCAUCUUGUGGUUCCAACUUUCUCAGUUGGGGUUCUUUUGUCACAUGGGCUCUCCCUGUGUACUGACAAAAAUGGCUACUGGUAACUCUGGCCUCCUGUCCCUACCUGGGGGAGGGAGCACCUCUUUUUCAGUAGCUCUGGGAAGAGUGCCAGGAUUGACACUCAUUCAACUCACUGCCUUAAAGAACCUAUUUCUGACCCAAUGGCUGUGGCAAAGUGAACAGUGGAACGCUCUUCAUUGGCCAGGUCCUCAGUCACAUGACCCUCAUGGAGAAAUCCAGAGCCAUGUGGCCUGAAAGUAGGGGGGUUUGGGUCAUCAGAAAAAUAUUACAAUAUCCUUUAAUAGAGUGGGAGGCCUGCCCGGUGGAGGGCUGGUCCAUGGGCUAUAUAAGGCAGGCCUUAGGAUGGAGAGGACAGCCAGAGGCCCAAGUGUUCAUGGAAUGGAGACAGGAGACAGGACGGAGGUGGGGCGGAAGCAUCAAAGCAGGAGGCCACUGGGGGAGCCAGAUGGUAUGAGCAACAGAGGGUGGGUUUGGCUGGGAAACACGGAAAGGAGGUGUUGAAUAAAAAGGACCUGAAGGGCAUUUUGGGGCCCUGGAGCUCCGGUGAUGUCUGCAAAGGAUAGACUGUUGGGGGUGGGGGGGCUUUGGUUAGGAAGGACUCAGAAGGGAUGGAGCUCAGUGUGAAUUGUUGCACAGGAAGGUACAGUGUCCCCCUGCUCAUGGCCCCUGUAGCAGCCCUUCUGAACUGUCUCAGAACCUGUUACCUGGGAGCUGAUCGAAAAGCUAAGUCCCAGGCCCUGGCCUCAGACUGAUUCUUGGACAACUGGGGUGAGGCCAGGUGGCAUCUGGGCUUGGGUUUCUGGUCUAGGGAAUGGAUGUGGAAUCAGAGAUCACAUUCAGCUGGUCAGGAGAACCAUCCCCCCCAGAAUCCUGGGUAGGCCGGGGCCUGUCCUGGCCUCUAGCUGCUGGCAGCCUCUCAGGUGGCCCUGCAGGCAGUAUGGGACAGGAGCUGGGCUGGCUCAAUGAUCCUGUAGCAAGGCACUGGCCGUGCCACCCCCCAGUCAAAGCUGCAAAAUGGAUGAAGCCAUUACUGAAAGGCAAGUGGCCAGGGCAUGGGCUGGCAGGGUGAGUGAAUGGUCAGCCCUGGCCCACCAUAGUCCCACAUAGGUCCCAACCCAGGCCUCCUUCCUCCCUCCUGGACACCCCCAGUUCCCCAGAAUCAGAACAGUCACAGCCAGGCUAGUAGAUGGAGGGGCACCUUGUCCUCAAACCUUCUGCCUAGAGAGCAAUGAUGUGCCAAGGGACGUGUCUGGGACUUGUCCCUGAGGCAGGAGGUAGCAGGGAGGAGCCCCCACCGACUUUAAGACACUGAAAGAGCAAGUGGAGUGGCCACUCACCCUGUAUGGAAGGAUCUGCAGGGUGACAGAUGGCUGAAGUGUUUGCUCUGUGACCCCCCACUCUGUGUGCAGGGGGAGGGUAGUGGCUGCCAAGCCCUGCUCCGGGAUACCAGCAGGCCAGGGGCGCUUCUCCAGUGAUGCUCCCUCCCCUCUCCUAGUCUCUAACACUAACACAGAGAUCAUCUCCAUCUUUCACCUAACCCCAGCCCAGGCUUACCCAGUUUGGUACAUGUACACACGCACUGUUCUAGAACAUUCCCUAGCUUCCAGAGCCCUCCUUUGGCAGGGUUGUCCUCAUAGGAACAUCUGUCAAAGGCUCAAACGGCCUUAAGAACUAUUCCAUAUGCUGGACACCAGAGUGUCCCAGGGCUCAGGGUCACACUUUCCAACUUGUCCAGGAAUCCUUCGGGGUCCCGCGUGUGCACUCCAGAUGAACCAACGAGCUGAGGAUCCGUGCCUUGCUCAGGCCACACCUCGGGUUGUGCUCAGUGUGCCAGAGCCCGAGGCCUCCACAUUUCCAAUAUCCCUCUCACAUCAACACAAAGUCUCAGUGAAUUCGGAAUAACUAACCUCUGCCAAGGCUCAGCCUGGUGGGACCUCGUACGUGCUGGGGGGCCCUGACCAGUAAGCCCAAAAAGCCAUGGCUGUCCCCUCCCCCUCUCCCCACCCCCUGUCGGGGACCGGACCAGCCUAUCUCCAGCAUGUUUCCACCUCCGCACACUAGAGAUCAGUCCCUUGAGGCUCCUUCCGGCAUCAGCCAGGCGCCCCCUCCCCGCAGUUUCCACCCCUCACGGAGAACUCCAGGCCUACCUAGCUAACAUCCGGGGUACCCAAGACCCUUGGGACCCACCAUCCAACCCAAGUUGCUCGCCGACCGCACCCAUCCCUACUCCACUCGGAAGAAAACGAGAGCGGUUCAAAGGUUUAAACAAUUUAUUGUGCCCCAAAAAGGCCAACGGGAGGAAAGGAAGGCCGCGCGGCCCCGCGCCCCGAGCGAUUGUUUGUCGCGCACCCAAAGGCGGAGGGUGGGGAGUGGGGAAGGGCGGCGCGGCGGCGGCGUCUCAGCGCACCAGGGCCCGGCCAACCCGCGGCCCCCGCCCUGGCAGGCAGGCGCGGCCUCGGCCAUUGGCGCCUAGGGGCCGGUUACCAUGGAGACAGCCGUUGCCAAGGGCGAGAGCCAAUAGGGGCGUCGCCUGGCCGUUUCAAAAAUCUAAAGCAAAAACAACAACAAAAAACCGCUACGGCGGCGGGGGAGGGGGGGCAGGAAAAGGGAUGGAGGGAGCCCCGGGCCCUCCGUGCGGCUCAGAGCAGGGGCGGCGGUGGCCUGGCCGGCAACCGUACAAAAACCUACAUACACUUGGGGUAGAAAAACCGAACACCGGAAAGACCCCGCAGGCCGGCGAGCUCACUUGCGGCCCUUGGGCACCUUGGGGACGCUGGGCUUGGCCGCCUUCUUCACCUUCUUGCCCCCGGCGGCCGCCGCCUUCUUAGCCUUGCUGCCUUUGUCCUUCUUGGAGGCGGCGCCCUUCUUGUGCGAGCGCUUCUCGGGCUUCUGGCCCUUGGCCGGCUUCUUGUCCGCGCGCCGGGGGCCGGCCGCGCCCGGGGCCGCCUUCUUGGCCUUGUGCGCGGCGGGCGCCGGGGCGGUGGCGGCCGCUGUGGCUCCGCGCCGCUCGCCGCCGCCCUCCAGCUUCUUGCGGUUGAGCUUGAAGGAGCCGUUGGCGCCGGUGCCCUUCACCUGCAGGAGCGUGUCGUUCUGCACCAGCGCCUUGAUGGAGUACUUGAGGUAGGUGCGCCCGUUCUGCUGGUCGAACCACGCCACCUUCUUGGCCUCCGUGUAGAUCUUGGCCAGCGACGAGCCGUUGCGCUCGCCCAACCUGCGGAUGGUCUCCACCACCAGCUGGCUGUACUUGCCCGGCUGGUUCUUCUUCUUGUUGUUCUUCUUCUUCUUGGACGGGGACAGCGCUGCCGAGCCGCCAGCCUUGGCCGCCUUCUUGGCCGCCCCCUCGGCGGUCGUCAGCGGCAGGGCCUCCUCGAGCUCCACAGACAUGGUGGCGAGCGGGUUGGUGGCGGGCGGGGCGCGGAAGCCCGGGGGCCGCGCCGGGAAGAGGAAGGCGAGGGGCCGAGGGGGCGCCGGGGGACUGGGGGCGCGCGGCGGCUCCAGGCGGGAGCGGCCGCGGCCGGGCCUGGGGCCGGGCGGCAGGGCUGGGGUGGGGGCCGGGCCGGCCGGAUCGGGGGUCCUGGGCCGGGGCCGGGGCCGGAGCCGGAGCCGGAGCGGAGGGGCCGGGGCGGAGGGGGCCGGAGCCGGGACCCUGCAGGAGCGAGGAAAUCGGCCGAGGGAGCGCCGCUGCUGCCGCUACCACCGUUGCCGCCGGAGCUCGCUGGGCGUGCGCGCUGCGCUCUGAUGAGGAGGGCGCUCCGCUCCGCCUUUAUAGCUCCGUGGCGGACCACGUUGAGAACAACAACAGCCUGGUCUGGAGCCAGCGCCAACUUGUGCUUCUUGGAGCCCCUUCCUCGGCCUCUGGCUUCCCGGGCAGCGCCUCCCGGGCGCCACCGAGCCCACCGCCGAGCGCCCCGGACAGGGCCCGAGCCUGCGGCGCAGCGGAGAAGCGGCCUGCGCCCGGGAAGGGCUCGACAAAGGGGAACGGAGGGGUGCACCCUAGGCUGCGGGAGCGCGAGUGGAGGGGGGCACCCGGUUUGGAGGCGAAUAGCGCGGGCCCCGGGGGAGGCCGCGCGGCGCGGAGCUUUGCGGCCGGCAGCCAAGAGUGCGCCGCGGCCACCUAAGCCCCGAGCGCGUCCAGGGGGCCCCAGGCCUGCCCGCAGGACGAGCUUUAAUUUGUCCGAACUAACACAGGGCACGCCCUCACGUGGUCGGCUGGGGCAAUGUGAAGUGUGCUAGGACAUCUUCGAGGGGGGUCUCCACCCGAGUCCGAGGGGACGCCGGCUGGAGGCGCCCUCCAGCUGUGCGCCCGGGGUCUUGUUAGGCCUAAGGGGCCCGGGCACCGCCCGGGAGGACGUGGGGGACGACCGCAGGUGUCUCUCUGAGGACAUUUCUUAGCCCCCCACCCCCACUGGCGCUGAUGCUCCAAGUGCCCCAUUUUGUGGUGCGCGAGUAGCCGCCACGGUUUCCCCCCCCCCCCCCCCAAAGCCAAAUGUCGGCUCCACGGUGGAGCAGGUUGAGCGAAAUGUCGGGGUGCGACCCCCGGAGGAGUUCUCGGACAGGAUGGGGGAGGGGAGUUGCUCCGGCCACACCCCUCCCAUUCUCGUCGCGAGAGUGCGAUUGAGAGCGGGUCUUGGAGACCGCUCGCCCGGCUCCUUCCUCCUGGUACAGGCGAAGUCCUCCGCAGAGGCUCCUGCAAGUCUGGCGGCCCUGAGCUGGGCGGGGUCCAGUGUCGCGGGUGCGGAGGAGGCGCCGGACGGUCUUUCUUGAAGCCAAAGAAGCCUCUGCUUGGGGAAGCUGAGACCAUGGGAAGACACCCAGAGAGGAGAGCUGAUCCCUUUGGGGUUCCGGAAAUGCAAAGUGUGUGCCGGCUGGGCUGCUUGGAGGAUGCAGUGCAGUGACCGAGAAGCAGGAAGAAGGAGCUGCUGCGGCCCCCUGAGGAGUGUCUGUCCAGGAACAGGAGCCAUCCAAGAAUGAGCAGAGGGCACCCCGGGGGAGGUGGGCAUGGCGGCCCUACCCGGUGGCCCAGGGUUAGGGUUAGAACAGGGACACCGGAAAGAGAGCCGGCCCAAGGAAAUCAGGUGGAGGGGGGUCGCCAGGUGCCUGGCCUAGAGAGGCUCGAGCUUGGGGCUCUGCAAGAGCAGAGGGUGACGCCCCUGGUGGAACCCCGACAUGGGCCGCAGGGACAUCCUCAGACUGAAAUUUGCCCAGCCAUUCCGGGAGAGAAGGUCGCUGGAAAUGUGAAUCUGGAGCAGGCUGGGUCAGGGGUGUCUUCCCUAGGGUCAUCGCACAGGGAAAAAGGAGGAUGUGGAAAUGGUAGAAAAGGGAGGGGUGCUCCACUGGAGACAGAGGAAGAACGGUCAGAGAGGGAGGAGGAAACCAGGUGUGGCAGGUAUCACGGAAGCUAAGGAAGAGAGAGUUUCAAGAAACAAGGGCUGGUCGGUCACCGUGCAGCCCCUUCAGAAAGUGGAUCAGUCUAUCAGAAUGGACGGGUGAGCUUCCGGCCCUUGAGACCCCCUGGCUGGAAUCUGCCUGGUUUGCCCCGUGGUUUUUAAAACACCAGGGUUAAAAAAAUCAGGUGAUUUCGGGUAAAAAUGUGUCCAGACUUCAGCUUUCCCUUCAAAAAAUCUGAGGACUCACCCUGGGUGGGGGCAGAAAGAACAGGGCCUGAGUUAACAGUUUUUCUGCUAGAUGGGCUAGACCCCCAACACCUGGUCAGUUUAGGGAGUGUGGCCAGUGUGGGGCAGAGGGAAGGUUCUCCAGCCCUGGGGGAGGUCUGGCCAGGGUUGGAGGGGAGAAGGAACCAGUGGAGGGAGUGAAUACGUACAGGCAGGGCAGUGUGGCCCAGGCGGUGGGGAGGGUGCAGAAGACACGGCUCAGAGUCCAUACCGGCCCUAGUGGGCUCCUUGGCCUGCUGGUGGAGCAGGUGUUUGUGUGGGGGAGGGGAGCACUGCCUGUGGACCUGUAGACCAGGGCUCUGGGAGACUAAUAAUUUUAGGGCUUUGGGAACUGCCAGACACGCAAGUGGUUUCAUCCCACUGGCCUCGGUAUACAGAUGAGGAAACUGAGGCCUGGGGCUCACUGGAUGUCCAGUUAGCCAGGAUUCUAGGCCUGGGGUGCUGCCAGCCUUCAGGGAUGCUUCUCAAACCCCAUACCUCCCUAACAGCUCCCCACCCCCAUCACCCCUCUAUGGAAACGUAGGUGGGGAAGGCCUCAAGCAAACCAAUGAAACAUGACAAAAUUUGGAAAAAGAAACAUAUGGAAGUGGCCAGGGCCUCUCUCUCUCUCUCUCUCUCUCUCUCUCUCUCUCUCUCUCUAGUUGAGCUCAUCCAAUCCUGGAGCUCCAAACACCAUCCAUACCCUGCUGACCCCCUUUUCUGUCGGCCCUCAUUUCUGUCUCUCUCCUGACCAAAGGACUCUGGCAUCCAGCCGCCUGCCGCUGUCUCCACUGGGAUGUCUGGACACAUCUCUUCUGCGUCCUGGCUAAAACAGAACUCGGUUUUUUUCUCUUGCAAACCUGCUCCUCUCCCCAAGGUUCCCAGGCAGUCCUAGCCCCAAAGCAUAGACUCGCCCUGUUUUUUUUUUUCCCUCCACCCUCUCAUUCACCCCAUAGUUUCCUGUCACAGCUACUACCCCCAAACAGGUUCCUCCCCAAGCCCACCCCCACGCUCUCCAGUCCUCUCCAUUCAGCAGCAGGCAGAGCAGCUGAUGUGAAGUCUGAUCCCCUGCUUCCCACCUCUGUUGAGAAGGCCUCCAGUGGCUUUUCAUCAGACUUAAGAGGAGUCUGCACUCAGCCACACUGGCCUUUUUUUUUUUUUUUUUUUAAUGUUUAUUUUUUUGAGAGAGACAGUGUGAGCCAGGGAGGGGCAGAGAGAGAGAGAGAGGGAGACACAGAAUCUGAAGCAGGCUCCAGUCUCUGAGCCAUCAGCCCAGAGCCUGACGCGGGGCUUGAACUCACGAACUGGGAGAUCAUGACCCAAGCUGAAGUCGGAUGCUUAACCCACUGAGCCACCCAGGCGCCCCUACACUGGCCUUUGUGUUCCUCACACAGACCCAGGGGACUCCCACCUCAGGGCCUUUGCACUUGCUGUGCUGCUGACUGCCUUUAUUUCGAUUGCAAUCCAUGAAUACCUACCUCUUCAGGGCAGCCUCCGCGCCAGCCUGGCUGAAGUACCUGUAUCACAUCAUCCUGCUUUAUCAUCCUCUGAUCAUGUGCUUACCAUCAUCAUCUGACCCUAUUCUUAUUUGCUUGUGUAAAACUGUAAGAACAGAGUGGGGCCUGCCUUGCUCCCUGCCAUAUCCCAGCCCUGGCCACACCCUGCCUGCUGGGUACCCCUGUUCAUUGCUGUCUGUACUGCAGCCAACGGGGACACGGACCGGAGCCUUGAGCUCCUGGUUUGACCUGGACCCUGGGCACUCCCCCAGACCUCUUGUGCCCCCCACCGCCCCCCACCCCCCACUGCUCUGCCUUGGUUCCCCAGUUUGUGAAAAAGGGUUGGAUGUGUGCAGUUUGAAUGACCCUCCAGCUUUGGCAGUCUGAGUCUGGACAGCCGAACCGAGAUGUCCUCAAGAGAAGGGAGGACCCGGAAGAAUACAGCCUGCCUGGAGGAUGGGACAUAAAACAGAGAUCUGGGUGUCAGCAGAGGAGUCUGCUGGGCCUGAUGGCAAGUCUGGGUCUAGGAUGCAAAACCCCGGGCUCUGGGCAGGUUCCCUCCUGUGCUUCUGUCAGCCUCAGUGUCAUCUGUGAAAGGGGUACACACACUAGAGCUCGGAUGGAGGCACCUUCCCCUGGGAGGGUUUCAGAAGACCUGCAUGGGAGUCACCAGCCUCAGGGAUGGGGUUCAGAGACCCUGCCCUCUGAGGGCCCUUCACCCGGAAAGGCCUCAUUGGCUUGAGCCGGCUGCAGAGAGUUAACAGUUGAAGGCCAAAGAAUCAGUCUCCCCAAAAAGGGUUUUUAACUGAGAGGUUGGCUCCAGCCUAGGCCUGGGCUGGGAGGGAGGGUGGCUGGGCCCAGUUUGGGAUUUUAAAUGUAAAUAGAGAGGCAUUAAGUACUUUUCAGCAUUUAAGUGGAGACAAAGGGAAAUUCACCAGGCGAGACGGUGGGGAAGGUUGCCUUUAAGAUGCAAAUGUGUAUUGUGAAACCCUGAAUGGGGACGUUGUUGGGGCCCUGGCCCCUAGCCCCUUGUGGCCGGGCAGUGGGCUCCGAGGGGUCCGUGGGUCAGACGAACCCGGGCAGAGUGGCCAGAGAUCAAAGGAGUGGACAAGUCGCUGCUGAGGCUGAAAGGGUGCGAGACGUGGGGACCGAGAGAGCUUGGAGUUCCCGGAGGCCCCGCUUGCAGGGAGCCUGCUGGCCCCCCAGGCCCGAGUGGGGCGUAAAGGAAGAGCCGGGUGGAAUGGGAUAGGCCAGGGGGCAGGCUCUGAAGUGCGGGUGGCCCAUGCUUAGGGCACCGGCAAAGCGUGAGCCCCGCGAAGGGUUCUAAUACAGUACGCAUUGUUUUAAGAAUGGAGGUAAGUAGUUCUCGUGGAAGAAACCAGACCUUUGUGGAACUUCACACAGCUUUGUGCCGUUUUCAUUCGGAAUGGCAUUAAGGGAGAAGGGAUGGCAGGACCGCGUGCACACGUCUGCAUUUGGCCUUUAGGGGAGCCUUCACCCCAGGCACCUGCGGACCAUGGGUGUCGAGUAAGAAUCCCCAACCACUAGAGAUAAGGCCGCGAGGGUGAAAGAAUUGAGGGUGAUGGGAGAUUUGAACCUUGUCUCCAGGAGCCAGCCGCCCCCUCCGUCCGUCCUCCAAAAGCCGGAAGGCUGCGGGACCCAGCAGCGGGCACAGGAGGAAAGGGGGGUGGGGGCCCAGCCUGCCCCUCGCUGCCAGCAAUCUCGCUGCCCUUCCCCAGGCCGCCUUGCCCCUCCCCCCAGUUCUUUAAAAGCUCGUUAAUUUUUUCUCAAUAAAGUUGUUCGUGGUAUAAAACCCAACGGUGUAGAAGGAAGGAUGCGGAGGGAAAACCGAGUCCCCGCCCCUCUCUUGGCAGGCGCCCGCGGCUGAACGGGGGCCCUCGUGUCGCCGCUCCCUGUCGCACACGCAGUUGUGCUUCCCACUCUGUUGAACAGGACGUUUCCACUGACACAUCCAGGUGUAACUUGGCCUUCGGAACAGGGCCCGGGUGUUUUCCACCAGCCCUGUGGGUGGACGUGCGGUGCAAGCCGGGACUAGCCUUCCUUGCUAUCCUGGAAAGAUCUAGAGGAUUCGUCCUGUAAAUGGGGUUCCUCUGUCCAAGAGAUUUGCUAACUCUUGGUGGCCUGAGACCAGGUUGCCCUCAAGAGCAUGUCCCCCCACCAUUUCCUACUGCCGUGCUGUGUCCCCACCUGGGGCCUUUUUCCACGCACGAGUGCCACCCCACAGGGAGAGCGCUGGGCCCUCGGGAUUCGUUUUUCUUCCUUUUCAGGUUUUGUAACCCCCAGCUGGUGUGCACGUGCCCUCCCUUGGGCCCCGACCUCAGGUGCUGCCAUCACUCCUCAGGGCCUCUGUCCCCCCACCUCGCCACCCCCACUGCCCUCUCUUCUGGGCUGUGGCGGAGACUGGCUGUGGUCUGCCUCCUGCCUGCUUUUCUAAGUUCAUGUCCCAUUCUUCAUUCCUGUCAGUGGCCUCAGCCGCCCACCUGGCUGCUCUGGGCUCACCCUACACUUGACUGCACCUCCCCCUGCCCCCAAGCAGCAUCCCCAGCCCGGGGAUCCUGAGGGUUGGAACUGCGGUCUCUGUCCAGCCCUCCCGCCCAUGUGUGCGUCACAGGGCCUGCAUGUGGGCUGCUCAGAGAGCCUGGACCAGGGGUGAGGAUUUGAAGGAGGGAGUGAGCAGUGGAAACUAGAAAAUGGCUUCUCCAGGCUCCGCCCUUGAGUAACUGUCCCCUCCCAGGCUCACCCUUGGGUGGGGACCAAGGAGAGCAGCUGAGAGGAACUGGGUUGUUAACGUUAGGGAGGAAAGGCCCAGUGAGGAGAGGGUAGCUCCCAGCCCAAAGCCUUCUGGGGAUUCCCUUUCCUUGGGGGGGGCAGGGGGCUUCUGGGUACAUUCCCGGUCUCCCCCCGCCCCGCUUCUUCCCCCCACCCAAGGGUCAGUUUACAGGCUCCGAGAGGGAGCUCUGGCCUGGCUCAGGCUCCGGGACCCGCGGCCUCGCCUCUGCCCCUGCAGGGCUUGGUUUCCUUAGAUGGGAGUGUGGAGUUGGGGGGGAGGGAGCUGGGGGGACAUCUCUUCCCCAGAACUUCGGUUUGAGGCCCAGGGAGCUAGGACAGGAUCGAGAAACAAUUCUGGAGGGUGAUCCAGAAGACGAGGACAAAAGCCGACAGGCAGAAACCACCUGCCCAUGUCUCCCUGGGCCACCAGCACCAGUGGCCUGCUUUGGCCACCCCUACAGCGCAAUCCCUGUUGGCUGAGGUGCAGGCAAGGGAAUCUUGGCUUUAUCUCCCUUUGUCACAAACAACCUCAGUUAGUGGACACUUUCUUCCUGGGGAAGAACUGAAAGCCCUAAAGAGGUGGGGUGGGGGGGAGGGGGGGGAAGAGGAGGCUGCAGCCCUGUGCUCAGCAGCUGGGAGCCUGGGCACCACGCUUUCCCCGAAUAUCGACUGUUUCCAGGGGGUGGCAGGUGCAUGUCCCUCCACUGUCCAGAUGAGGAAACUGAGGCUUCAGAAAGGUUGGGCAAUGCCCCAAUGACAUCCGGCCAGAAAAAGAUGGCAAGGUAUUUGCUGUUUACCCCAUUGCAAGUAGCCUCCCCUCCCCUCCCCCCAGACACUUGAUGCACUUUGUUUUAUAGCACUUAUCACUUUCUGAGAUUAUCCUGUCUCCUGCCUGUUCCCACUAGAGCAGGAGCCCUGUCUAACUCACUGCUGCAUAGGGCCUGGCACAUAGUAGGCCCUCAGUAAAUAUUUGUUGAAUGAAUGAGAUGGGAUUCAAACCUGGUCUGGCUUCCUGUCCCAGCACUGACCUUACAUAGGUCACAACUCGAAGUAUCUGCACUGAGCCCACUGGGCUGCCUGGCAGAGCAGGCAGGGACCCCACAGAGUUGUGACACCUUUGAAAACCCUAGUGGAAAGCCUACUGCGACCUUUGCAAGGCUCACAGAAUUCCAAGGCUCACAGAAUUUUAUUUCAUCGUUGCUUGUCCCAUUUGGGGACCUUGAACUUUUCUACUAGUCAAGAACGUGUUAACUGCCCCUUUCUUCCUGUGAUGAGGCGCGGCCUCACACCAGACCGCUCCCUAAUUGCCAUUAUCUGAGGGGGGCCUGAAGGGUGGGGACAUUACGGCUGCACCAGGUAGCUGGUGGCACAGGCGUCCCGCUUGGACGGCCACCAUACGUACACCUGGCCCUGCCAUGGCCCCCCUCCUCGGCCAAAUUCAAUCCAGUCCUUCCUCCACUUACGAGGCAGCCAGAGGAACUUUUAAAAGGCAAACCAGAGCUUGUGGCUGUCCUGCUGGGACCCUCCGGCGCCCCACCCCCCCACCCCGACUCCGCCAGGCCCCGCUGACCUCUUCGACUUUAUCCGCCGGUGCUCCCUCCCUCCCUGCGGGCUCCUUCUCCUGGCGGGCACACCCCUGCAGACAUGCCGGCAGUGGCGCCAGGCGUCCUGCUAGCCUGCCCCCCCCCCGCCCCCGACUGCCACCCCCAUCCGCACUGGCUCCCUCCAUCCUGUCAUCCUGAUUCCUUUUCUCAUGAGGUUUCUCCAGCUGCGUGAGCUUUUACUUGCUUCCUAUCUGUCCGCCUGCCUCCAAGACCUUGGCUGUCUUGUGUAGCAUCGAAUGAUGAGAAUCUAGAAACGAAUCUAACUCUUGGCCGUAAGUCAGGUUCAGAAAUAUAUUUAAAGAUGGGGGAAAAAAAUACCCAACCAAACUAACGUGUAAUCUGGAGCCUGACAUCAGUAGCUCUCAAAAAAUAUGCUCCCUUCCUUUUCUCCCCCCCUCCUCAGGUAAUCUUUCUUGAAAGAGGUGGGCUUUGAAUAAUGCUUUUGAGACCAUCAAGGGAUUGAAUGGGAGGGUUCUUAGCCCACAUCUUGUCCCAUCUGCCCUGUCCCGCCCCCCCCCCCCCCCCCCCCCCAUUUUACAUGACGGAGCUGAGGUCCAGAGAAGAGGCAGGACUCACUUUGGGCAUGCGGAUUCUACUCCAAAUCUAAUUACCAGUCCAGUGCCCUUGCCCCAUCUGUCCAGUUGGCUGGGCGUGGGGACGGGAGAGCAGGGCCACAGGAUGAGGGCGGGCAUCAGGCUGUGCGCCACCCUUGCCUGGGUGUGAAAGACAACCAUAAAGGCUGUUCAUCUCGGCCCCAGGCCCCAGAACCAUGCCUCACUGGAAACAGCUGAAGGGGGUGUUUGACCUCGAGAAGAAUACGAAGAGGGACUGAGCUCUCUCUGACGCUAAACUGUAUUCUGGACCUGCCUGCCUUGCACCCCCUGCCCCAAGACAUUGAGAAAGCCUCAAAGUGGGUCUCCCUGUUGCCAGAUCUUCACAGAGGCCAAGUUUUUCCCAAAGCCCCCGUGGGAUCUUGCCCACCCCUGCCGAAACACGUGGACAGCUUCCCAUCACACUCGGAGUAAAAUCCAAACGUCUCCCCACAGCCCGGAAGGCCAGAUGUGGUCCUGUCCCCUGCUGGUCUCCUGUUUCUACCCUGGCUCCCCUUCAUUGCUGGCUUUUCUGUCCAUGCCUUGGACACCCAAGCCGCAGGCCACCGCAGUGCCUUGUGCUGUUUCCCCUCUUCAAUUUGAAGACUUUCACGGAAAUUGCCCCUUUUUGUGACUCAAGUUAAUGUCACCUUCUCCGGGAAACCCUCCUUAAACACCCCAUCUGAAGUAGGGUUACCCACUCCCCCCCCCAUCCUCCACACUUUGCCACGUUUUUCGUCAUAGCACGUCUCACUAUUGGGGAGUUUGUGCGUUUCUAAUCCUCAUUUCUCUGCCCCACCCUAAAGUCAGCUUAUCUGCCUUGUGUAUCACGGAAUCCUCUGUACGUGGCACACAAUAGAUGCUCAAUAAAUAUUUGUUUGAAUAAAUGAAGAAAAAAAAAGGGCCCCUCCGGGGUACA